rnacentral:rRNA from 1 species
UAUUGGACUACCAUGGCAGUAACGGGUAACGAAGAAUUAGGGUUCGAUUUCGGAGAGGGAGCAUGAGAAACGGCUACCACAUCUAAGGAAGGCAGCAGGCGCGUAAAUUACCCAAUCCUGACUCAGGGAGGUAGUGACAAGAAAUAGCAAACCGGGAACCUCAUGGUUUCACGGUAUUGCAAUGAGAACAAUUUAAAACCCUUAGCGAGAAUCAAGUGGGGGACAAGUCUGGUGCCAGCACCCGCGGUAAUUCCAGCUCCACUAGCGUAUAUUAAAGUUGUUGCAGUUAAAAAGCUCGUAGUUGAACCUCUGUCUGGGGCUAGUUUUGGCUUUGGUCAGGCUAGUUCUAGGCAUCCGCCUACAAGACUUAGAGGGCAUUCAGUUGUUCACUAGGAGGAGUAGGCAUUUUACUUUGAAAAAAUUAGAGUGUUUAAGGCAGGCAAUCGCCCGCAUAUAUUAGCAUGGAAUAAUAGAAUAGGACACUUUUCCAUUUCGUUGGUUAUUGGAAUCGUGUAAUGAUUAAUAGGGACAGUUGUGGGCAUUUGUAUUUAAUUGUCAGAGGUGAAAUUCUUGGAUUUAUUAAAGACAAACUAACGCGAAAGCAUUUGCCAAGGAUGUUUUCAUUAAUCAAGAAAAGUUAGGGGAUCAAAGACGAUCAGAUACCGUCCUAGUCUUAACUAUAAACUAUUCCGACUCAAUGUUUGACUGGCUUAUAUAACCAGUUGAGCGUUGUAUGAGAAAUCAAAGUCUUUAGGUUCUGGGGGGAGUAUGGUUGCAAAGCUGAAACUUAAAGGAAUUGACGGAAGAGCACAACCAGGAGUGGAUUCUGCGGCUUAAUUUGACUCAACACGGGGAAACUUACCAGGUUAAAACAAUAGUGGGAUUGACAGUUUGAGAGCGCUUUCUUGAUUGGUUGGGUGGUGGUGCAUGGCCGUUCUUAGUUGGUGGAGUGAUUUGUCUGCUUAAUUGCGUUAACGAACGAGACCUUAACCUGCUUACUAGACUGGCGAUCAUCAAUCGUUAGCUCUUCUUAGAGGGACUUUGGUUGUUUUAACUCCAAGGAAGUUUGAGGCAAUAACAGGUCUGUGAUGCCCUUAGAUAUCCUGGGCCGCACGCGUCAUACAAUGACUAGUUCAGAAAGUUUUCUCCUGACCCGAAAGGGGAUGGGUAAUCUUGAUAAUACUAGUCGUGUUAGGGAUCGAUCUUUGCAAUUAUAGAUCUUGAACGAGGAAUUCCUAGUAAGUGCGGUUCAUCAGACCGUACUGAUUACGUCCCUGCUCUUUGUACACACCGCCCGUCGCUUCUACCGAGUGGGUGGUCCGGUGAGAUAAUUGAACUUCGCAGGUAACUGAGAGGAAAGAUUAUCAAACCUAUCCACCUCGAGGAAGAAGAAGUCGUAACAAGGUU